rnacentral:rRNA from 1 species
GCUAAUACCGGAUGUGACCGCUGACCGCAUGGUCUGGUGGUGGAAAGAUUCAUCGGCUGAGGAUGGGCCCGCGGCCUAUCAGCUUGUUGGUGGGGUAGUGGCCCACCAAGGCGACGACGGGUAGCCGGCCUGAGAGGGUGACCGGCCACACUGGGACUGAGACACGGCCCAGACUCCUACGGGAGGCAGCAGUGGGGAAUAUUGCGCAAUGGGCGGAAGCCUGACGCAGCGACGCCGCGUGAGGGAUGACGGCCUUCGGGUUGUAAACCUCUUUCAGUAGGGACGAAGCGAAAGUGACGGUACCUACAGAAGAAGCACCGGCCAACUACGUGCCAGCAGCCGCGGUAAUACGUAGGGUGCAAGCGUUGUCCGGAAUUAUUGGGCGUAAAGAGCUCGUAGGCGGUCUGUCGCGUCGGCUGUGAAAACCCGAGGCUCAACCUCGGGCCUGCAGUCGAUACGGGCAAACUAGAGUACUGCAGGGGAGACUGGAAUUCCUGGUGUAGCGGUGAAAUGCGCAGAUAUCAGGAGGAACACCGGUGGCGAAGGCGGGUCUCUGGGCAGUAACUGACGCUGAGGAGCGAAAGCGUGGGGAGCGAACAGGAUUAGAUACCCUGGUAGUCCACGCCGUAAACGUUGGGCGCUAGGUGUGGGGGCCAUUCCACGGUCUCCGUGCCGCAGCUAACGCAUUAAGCGCCCCGCCUGGGGAGUAC